rnacentral:rRNA from 1 species
CAUAGCUACAAUAUGACCCUGUAUGUCUUUAUCUUGUCGGAUCUUGGAAGCUAAGCAGGCUAGACCCUGGCUAGUACUUAAGAUGGGAGACUGCCCUACAAUGUGAUGUUGUAGUUUUGG